ACGGAGCCCCCGGUCAGUCAGGUGGGCUCCCGGACGAGGGGUGCCGUACCCGGUGUGCGACAAGACGGCCCGCA
rnacentral:ncRNA from 1 species